AUAGACGUGGCCGAUGCGGCUCAAACUGCAGUAUCUGUUCUUAUGAGCCUAAUAUGUGAUACGAGUUCUAAUUGGACGCAAAGUACUAAGCUUAUUUUUGCAAGUUGGCAGUGUGCAUAAAGCCUGCUUCAUCUCCGCCGCGUCUCAGCCCGGUACUGCAUUAUCUUCGGGAUUGGCCUUCUUAU